CUGGCUCUGUCAGUAAUGACACCACCUGUAACCUGUAUGUUGGAGAGCAGAGUAAGCGUCUUUUUAGAGCACACGUCUGGAAGAAGAAACACACAGAUUCCAAAUGCUGGUUCUGUCAAUUCUCUGUGGACGAGAAUGAUCUUAUUAGAAGUCUACAGUCAGUGAGGAGUAAGGAGGUGAGCUGUGACUACAGCGUGAGCUCAGGACCAAACUCUCUCUCACCACGCAGUGAUGGGUACAGCUUUACAGUUUCGACUGUUACUUCUACUUUGACCCCAGACACCCCAGUGAGAUCAACUACCAGUUUGACCUCUCCUUUGACCCCCAGCACUGCAGUAAAUCCUACAU